rnacentral:lncRNA from 1 species
GUCCAGAUCUAAGAGCAAAUUUAUAAUUUUGACUAUAAAUAAAUAAAAGGGUUAUUCUUCUAUCACAUAGUGUACAUUGUGUCUGUGAUACAUCCUUUGAGUUAGUAGGAAUGUAAAUUCAUAUUUUCAAGAGUUGAAAAUUUAAGGCAUGAAUUUACAUAACUAACUCAUAAACAGCUCCUGACCAUAGGAUCAUCAUGAG